CAAGACUACCCUGCUGAACUUAAGCAUAUCAGUAAGCGGAGGAAAAGAAAACAACUGUGAUUCCCAUAGUAACUGCGAGUGAAGUGGGAAAAGCCCAACGUUUAAUCUUCCUGGACUAUGGACAGGACGACAUGUAACGGUAUGGAUAGGUCUACUACUAAUAAAUAUUUGGUUAAAGUACUCCGGAUUGAGAUGCCAUAGAAGGUGACAGCCCUGUGUAUAAUCAAAUAUAUGAUUAGGUAUGUAACCAAUUCCUAGAGUCGGGUUGUUUGGGAUUGCAACCUCAAGUAGGUGGUAAACUCCAUCUAAGGCUAAAUACAGACACGAAACCGAUAGCGAACAAGUACUGUGAGGGAAAGUUGAAAAGAACUCUGAAAAGAGAGUUAAAAGUACGUGAAACCGCUCACGGGGAAGCGGAAGGCAGUGUCGUGAUCUUGUAAGUGAGUUAACAUAAUAUUGGAUUGAAUAUGAUACGAUAUGAGUGUUAUUUCAUCUAAUAUUGUGUUAAUAAGCUAUACUUGAUGCGUCAAAUCUAUUGGUGAUUAACAUAUGAUUCAAUUAGUCUUAUCUGUUAUACCUUGGUAUAAUAGUGUGGCUCCAUUGACACCUAUUUACAUUUGUUUUUAGGCUCAAUGAUGCAUGGACUAAUCAAUCAUAUACACUAAUAUGUAAUGUAAUGAAGCGUUAGUGGCAUAUUUUAUAUAUGUCGGUUAAUUCUUAUACAAUUUAUAUGUAUUAGUUAUAUUUUAAUUAUACAUGUACAUAUUGUGUUUGAUAUUAAUAGCUAAUGCUAGCAUUUGACGAGAUACCUAACUUUC
rnacentral:rRNA from 1 species